AAUGUUAAAGUUCUUAUUUCAUGGUAUAACUUUGGUAUGCUUGGACCUAGAGUCUUCAAACUUGACAUGAAGGUUGGCCAGGAUUAACAGAUGACCACUGGUCAUUUCAAGGUCAUUCAUUUGAAGGUCAAGGUCACUGUGACCUUCAAUAUAAAAAUGUUAAAGUUGUUAUAACUUUGGUAUGCUUGGACCUAGAGUCUUGAAACUUGACAUGAAGGUUGGCCAGAACUAGUAAGUAACCACUGGACAUUUCAAGGUCAUUCAUUUGAAGGUCAAGGUCACUGUGACCUUGAAUGUAAAAAUGUUAAAGUUGUUAUAACUUUGGUAUGCUUGGACCUAGAGUCUUGAAACUUGACAUGAAGGUUGGCCAGAACUAGUAAGUAACCACUGGAAAUUUCAAGGUCAUUCAUUUGAAGGUCAAGGUCACUGUGACCUUGAAUGUAAAAAUGUUAAAGUUCUUAUUUCAUGUUAUAACUUUGGUAUGCUUGUACCUAGAGUCUUCAAACUUGAAAUAAAGAUUGGCCAGUACUAGAAGAUGACCACUGGUCAUUUCAAUGUCAUUCAUUUGAAGGUCAAGGUCACUGUGACCUUAAAUGUUAAAAUGUUAAAAUUGUUAUAACUUUGGUAUGCUUGGACAUAGAGUCUUCAAACUUGACAUGAAGGUUUGCAAGCACACUUAGAUGACCACUGGUCAUUUCAAGGUCAUUCAUUCUCAUGUAUAUGCAUGCAUUCAAAACAUAACACAAGGUUUGCUCAUGCCUUGAAAAGUACUUACAUUUCAUUUUGACCUUUGAACAAUAUUUCAGUAAUUUAAGUAUUGCAUUGACAAAAACACGAAAGGUACUUUCCUGUCAUUUAAAUAAAAAAUCCGGCUUCAAUGCGGUCAUCUCCGACCGCGGAACUCUUGUUGUUUUGUAAAAACGUCACAAAAGCAAUCCAACACUAAUUGAAUGUUAUUCAAGACCUAACACUGUAUUAAAUUUACUAAAUAGAUGACAUUAUGAAAUACUUGUUUAUUUUGUUGAAGGUCAUGUCCAUUCACAGAACAAAGUUGUGUAAAUUAUUGAAACAGAGCUAGUAAGUAACCUACCAAUGCUAAGUAUGAUAGGUCAUAGAACAGACGAACACUUUGAAUAUACUGUAUCAAAUCAAAGUAUAUUAGUCUUUAUUGGAUUGCCAUUUCUCAACAAGAAAACACUUUAUACUUAUUAUUUUGGAAAUGAUAAAAUUCUUACAACCCCACUGAGAUUUUGCUUUUGUCAAAUGGCUUAGUUUUAAGAUGGUGCUGGGAACUGUCAUGUUUUGGUUAUGUCACAUGCCAGUAUUAUGUUAUCAAAGCCUGUGUGUGUUUUCUUUAACAGCAAUCUGUGUCAUCAUACCUUAUUGCAUGUUUGUUUCAAUUCCAUUAUUCACCAUGAAUGACUUACAUGUCCUGGAUAUGUCACACAUUCGCUCAUUUUGUUGAAGACCUUAAUAUCGGGCAAUAUAUGUUAAGAUUAUUUGUGGAAGUUGAGAUCACUUGUACCAGGAUUUCAAUCGAUUUUUAAACAUUUCCAGGCAUUAUUAUAUGCGUGUCAGAGUUAAUUUUGUUUCCACAUAUUUAAAAUACUUUGCAAUUGUAGCUUUUGUUAAAAUAAUUGUUAAGAACUUGGUAAAGUAACAGAAAACUAUGUUCAUGCACUUGAAGUUAAAGUCCGGUUCACAAAUGCUUCAAGAUAAUGCUUGGUAGAUAAUUCACUAGAGUGAUAAAUGAGUGAAUUACAAUUUGAUUGUUUUAAAGACAGGCUUUAGAGUCGAUCAAAUCACUGAUAGAAAUUAAGAUUUAUUCUUUUAGAUUUAUUUUGUUCCCCACCACUAUAGUGGGGGAUAUAUUGUUUUUUUCCUGUCUGUUGGUUUGUUGCUUUGUUUGUUUGGUCAAACUUUAACAUUUGCCAUAACUUUUGUGAAGAUAUCAAUUUUAUAUUUGGCAUGCAUGUGUAUCUCAUGGAGUUGCACAUUUUGAGUGGUGAAUGGUCAAGGUCAAGGUUAUCCUUCAAGGUCAAAGGUCAAAUAUAUGGGUCAAAAUCGCUCAUUUAAUGUACACUUUUGCAAUAUUGAAGAUAUCAACUUGAUAUUUGGCAUGCAUGUGUAUCACAUGGAGCUGCACAUUUUGAGUGGCAAAAGGUCAAGGUUAUCCUUCAAGCUCAAAUAUAUGGGGACAUAGCAUUUCAUAAAACAUCUUGUUUUAAAUAUGUUAGUAUCUGUUUCAAUGACAUUUUAGAAAUAUUGGGCACAGUUCAGACCCAAAGUAAAAAAUAUUGAUUGUUUUCCCUCGCACCACCCAUGAAAUGGCUGCGUGGGUUGGUAGCUCGAAAAUGUUUUUAAAAUAAUGUGUAAGAAUAUUUAGGUUAUUUUGUUUUAUUCUGUCAGCAAAGUCAGUGUAUUUUUCCCUCAUCAGACUUUCAGUUUAUUGGUAAGUCUAUUUAGUUCUCAGCAAAUUGGCUGGGUGUUUCAUUUUUUACAUCAUAAUGUUUUGUGUGAUAACCACUUAUUUUCUUGGGCAAAUUUUGCCUUUGUAUCAAUAUUGUUUGAAAACAUCUACAUUCACAAGUUUUAUUGUAGAAAUAUUUGUUUGUAUCACAUUUUUCAUUAUCUUAUCAUGUUACAAUCAUUUGUGUGGUGCUUGUUUAUAUACUUUAUUUACAUACAUGUCAUAACUGGUGUGAUGAUAUACAUGUAUUCCGUCCAUAUUUAUAAAAUCCUGAAGUCACCUAUGCAGUUUUAUUUAUGAUAGUAACUUGCCUUGCAAAUUAAGAUGAUAUUUGUGAGAGGGGAAUGGUUAAGAUUUGAUGUUAAUAUUUAAAGAGUAAAUGUUCUCAACAGGCACUGACCCGUGACUUCUCAUCAUUUCUUGAACUCAACCAGCUUAGCCCUUUUCCCCUCAGAUGCACAUUUUAACAUAUUUUUAUUCCCUUAGAAAAUCAAAUUAAAUUAAGCACCUUUCUUUCUAGAUUGAAGUUUUAAAUACUUCAUUUCCAACCCUAAGAUACUGAUGAGUAGCAAACAGCAUAAAACCUGAACAGACUGCGAAUUGUGCAGGUUGUUCUGGUCAUAUGUGUGUUGCUUAUAGCCAUUUUCACCUUGUUUCUGAGUGGAAAAGAGUUGAGUCUCUUAUUUCAUCAGUCAAAAUUAUCACUAAAAAUUGUUUUAACACCAUGUAUUAUUUAUUUUGGGUAUUUUACAAGCAGUUUUGGUAUUUAACACAUAGUUUUUCUUUAAAACAUAAAAUCUGAAUUGCGUAAACUUACGCUUAUCUUGCAAAACAGAAGCUCUUAAAAGCUUUUGAGAGAAAGAGGUAUGUUAAAAAAUAUUAAACUCCUUAACUUUCUUAGUGCAUCUUUGCCAGAAUUGCUAUGUAUAUUUUGUUUUAAUAGUUAAUUUCUGGCAGUCCAGUAAGUUAUAUUUGACUACUUUUCUGUUUCUUCUGUUUCUUGGUGAUGCCCCAAAAACUUGCAACCACAUGCGGGUGUUAUCUACAUAUGUACUGUGUCAUGUGUAGAUAUUUUGUUGGUGCUUCUUUGUGUUUCACUAAAUUUUGCUUUAAAUCACUAAAUUUAUUUGUCGACUUGUGAUGGGUAGAGAUCCGUUAUUUCUGUAAGAUGAUGGGGUCUUUAUGUAUCAUUUUAAAGUGUUAGCCCAAUAGUUUAGCUCACAUUACCAUGAAGUGCUCAAAGUGGACUUUUGUAAUCACAGAAGUCUGGCAGUAUACAUUGUCAACUUUAGGCUCAUCAGCACUCAUUAAACUUGGUCAGAUUAGUAAUUUGGACACUAUAUAUGCCAAGUUCUUAUUUGGGUCAUUUGCGUCAAAAACUAGGACACCUGGUCAAAUCUUAUGCAAACCAUGUUAUCUCUCUAGAGGUCACAUUAAUGAUUUAAAUUCUGAUGAAACUUUGAGAGAAUGUAUAUCUUUACAAUAAGUAGGCUGAGUUUGAUUUUAAUCUGGGUGAAGUACAUAAAAAAAAAUCACCAGGUCAAAUCCUUUUUAAGAAAACUUGUGACCACUCCUAAAAAAAAUUAAUGACUAAAUUUUGAUGAAAUUUGGUUAUUAUGUUAAUCUUUGAUUUUAUUGCCCCAGAAUCUGGUCAUGUGCAAAAUAUUUGGUUACAAGGUCAAAUCUUAGAAACCCUUGUUACCACUCUAGAGGCCACAUUUAUGAUUAAUCUUGAUGAAACUUGGUCAAAAUAUCUCUCUGGACAAUAUUUAGUUCGACUUCAAUUCUAGGUCACUUGUGUUCAAAAGUAGGUCACAAGGCCAUAUUUUAUAAACAAACUCACUUUUUAAUUAAUUUUGUGGAAUUUUUUGUCAUGAUAAUAUCUAGGUCGAGUUUGAAUCCCAGUAAUGUGCUUCCAAAGACUUGGUCAUCAGGUCCAAUCUUAAAAAACCUUAUAUUACUCUUUAGACAACAUUUAUGACUCUUUCUUGAUUAAACUUGUCAGAAUUUUUCUCUGGACAAUAUCUAGGCCAAGUUAUAAUCUUGGUCACGUGCAUCUAGAUAUAAGGUCACCAGGUUGAAUCUUAAAAAAAAAUCUUACCACUAUAGAGGCAACAUUUAUGACUUAUACUUGAUGAAACAUGGUCAGAUUGUUUAAUUUUGACAAUAUCUAGGCAAAAUUGAAUCUGGGUGAGUUGUAUCCAGAAAGAAGGUCACCAAAGAUUCUUACCAUUCUUGGGACAAUAUUGCCUCAGUCUUAAUCAAACUUGGUCAGAAUGUUUAUCAUGACAAUAUGAAGCCCAUUUUUUUAAUCUGGGCGAAAAAUAUCACCGUGUCUAGUCUUUGACAAUUGGUGUCUAUGAACUCAUAUGAGUGCGUAAAGGCCUUUGUGGCCAACUUGUAGUUUUUUUGUAUUGUGAAGAAAGUGAAGUAUUACCACUUUUAAUUUUAACACGUGUUUGUCAUUGUUAUGAAUGUACAUACAUUUUAGUGCUUGCAGCAAGUAAAUGUGAUAGUUUGUAAAUUUUGAUGAAUAUUUCUUGUACUGAAUUUGUUUUUGAGAUGUAUUAUAUCUGUUAUGAGUAAUAAAAGUAGAAACACA